rnacentral:rRNA from 1 species
ACGAACGCUGGCGGCGUGCCUAACCCCUGCAAGUCGAGCGAAUGAAGUUCCUUCGGGACUGGAUUUAGCGGCGGACGGGUGAGUAACACGUGGGCAACCUGCCUCAUAGAGGGGAAUAGCCUCCCGAAAGGGAGAUUAAUACCGCAUAAGAUUGUAGUACCGCAUGAUACAGCAAUUAAAGGAGCAAUCCACUAUGAGAUGGGCCCGCGGCGCAUUAGCUAGUUGGUGAGGUAAUGGCUCACCAAGGCGACGAUGCGUAGCCGACCUGAGAGGGUGAUCGGCCACAUUGGGACUGAGACACGGCCCAGACUCCUACGGGAGGCAGCAGUGGGGAAUAUUGCACAAUGGGGGAAACCCUGAUGCAGCAACGCCGCGUGAGUGAUGACGGCCUUCGGGUUGUAAAGCUCUGUCUUCAGGGACGAUAAUGACGGUACCUGAGGAGGAAGCCACGGCUAACUACGUG